UCCCUGGUGGCUCAGAUGGUAAAGCAUCUGCCUGCAAUGCAGGAGACCCGGGUUCAAUCCCCGGGUAUGGAA